GACGAACGCUGGCGGCGUGCCUAAUACAUGCAAGUAGAACGCACAGUUUAUACCGUAGCUUGCUACACCAUAGACUGUGAGUUGCGAACGGGUGAGUAACGCGUAGGUAACCUGCCUGGUAGCGGGGGAUAACUAUUGGAAACGAUAGCUAAUACCGCAUAAUAUUAAUUAUUGCAUGAUAAUUGAUUGAAAGAUGCAACUGCAUCACUACCAGAUGGACCUGCGUUGUAUUAGCUAGUAGGUGAGGUAACGGCUCACCUAGGCGACGAUACAUAGCCGACCUGAGAGGGUGAUCGGCCACACUGGGACUGAGACACGGCCCAGACUCCUACGGGAGGCAGCAGUAGGGAAUCUUCGGCAAUAGCCGAAAGUCUGACCGAGCAACGCCGCGUGAGUGAAGAAGGUUGUCGGAUCGUAAAGCUCUGUUGUAAGGGAAGAACGGGUGUGAGAGUGGAAAGUUCACACUGUGACGGUAUCUUACCAGAAAGGGACGGCUAACUACGUG
rnacentral:rRNA from 1 species